AGGGCACCACCAGGAGUGGAGCCUGCGGCUUAAUUUGACUCAACACGGGAAAACUCACCCGGCCCGGACACUGGAAGGAUUGACAGAUUGAGAGCUCUUUCUUGAUUCAGUAGGUGGUGGUGCAUGGCCGUUCUUAGUUGGUGGAGUGAUUUGUCUGGUUAAUUCCGAUAACGAACGAGACUCUAGCCUACUAAAUAGAUCGUCGGCUUACAAACGCCGACGAGACUUCUUAGAGGGACAGGCGGUGAUUCAACCGCACGAAACAGAGCAAUAACAGGUCUGUGAUGCCCUUAGAUGUCCGGGGCCGCACGCGCGCUACACUGAAGUGAUCAGCGUGCUUUUGUCAACCUACUCUGUCAAGAGUGGGGAACCCAAUGAACCUUCUUCGUGAUUGGGAUAGGGGAUUGUAAUUAUUCCCCUUGAACGAGGAAUUCCCAGUAAGCGCGAGUCAUAAGCUCGCGUUGAUUACGUCCCUGCCCUUUGUACACACCGCCCGUCGCUACUACCGAUUGAAUGUUU
rnacentral:rRNA from 1 species